UACGUAGGGGGCAAGCGUUGUCCGGAUUUAUUGGGCGUAAAGAGCGUGUAGGCGGCUUUGCAAGUCCGUUGUGAAAACUCGAGGCUCAACCUCGAGACGCCGGUGGAAACUGCAAAGCUAGAGUCCGGAAGAGGAGAGUGGAAUUCCUGGUGUAGCGGUGAAAUGCGCAGAUAUCAGGAAGAACACCCGUGGCGAAGGCGGCUUUCUGGGACGGUACUGACGCUGAGACGCGAAAGCGUGGGGAGCGAACAGG
rnacentral:rRNA from 1 species